rnacentral:rRNA from 1 species
AUUGAACGCUGGCGGCAGGCUUAACACAUGCAAGUCGAGCGAGAGGCGGACGGGUGAGUAAUGUCUGGGAAACUGCCUGAUGGAGGGGGAUAACUACUGGAAACGGUAGCUAAUACCGCAUACCAUCAGAUGUGCCCAGAUGGGAUUAGCUAGUAGGUGGGGUAAUGGCUCACGUAGGCGACGAUCCCUAGCUGGUCUGAGCGGGUGACUAGCGACACUGGAACGGAGACCCGGUCCAGACCCCUACGUGAGGCAGCAGUGGGGAAUAUUGCACAAUGCGCGCAAGCCUGAUGCAGCCAUGCCGCGGGUAUGAAGAAGGCCUUCGGGUUGUAAAUCACUUUCAGCGGGGAGGCGUUACUCGCAGAAGAAGCACCGGCUAACUCCGUGCCAGCAGCCGCGGUAAUUC